ACUGUAAUGUACAGUCUCAGUAUUUCUCAGUAUAUUCCACUGUAAAUGGUACAGUCUCAGUAUAUUCUCAGUAUAUUCUAAUGUAAAUGGUACAGUCUCUGUAUAUUCCACUGUAAAUGUUACAGUCUCUGUAUAUUCCACUUCAUAUGUCACGUCUCUGUAUUUCUAAUGUAAAUG
rnacentral:lncRNA from 1 species